AUGCACUGGACCAAGCCCUGGUUUACUCACAUCCAGCCAGUAUUUAAGCCAAAGUACCACAGCUGCCAGAGUAAUACAGACUGUGACAUUACAAUAACUGGACAAGAGCAUCUGUACAAGGAUGAAGUCAACACAGGCAAUGAUACUGAUGCUUUUUGUUGCAUCAGUCUUUUCAAAACCAUUUCCUUUGCGCAGAGGAUCUGAUUCAUCAGACUCUGUGCAGUCAGGAUCCAGUUCAGAGGAAAAUGAUUAUUUGAAUCGCCGGUUUCCUUUGCGCAGAGGAUCUGAUUCAUCAGAGUCAAGAUCCAGUUCAGAGGAAAAUGAUUCAUCCAGGCAGGAUUCAAAUUCUGAAUCAAACGAGUCUAAAUCAAGUGAUUCUGAUUCUUCUGAGGAAGUCAUUGUGCCAAGAACACGCGCUCCAGCUAGGACCACAACAAAACCACCAACCAUCGCCACCACCACCCCU